GUUUAGCCCAGAUUGAAGUGGAAAUCCCGGAGGCUCAAAAGGAAUUUUUUGUUGCCACAAAAGAGCGACCAGCGGAAGCUCCUUUUGUGGCAAACAAAAAAACCUUUUGAGCCGAGGAAUUGAAACGAAAAGCUGGAUAAGCU
rnacentral:sRNA from 1 species